UAAGAGUCAACCCUAUUGCUGUGGAUCUGGAGUAGGUAAGACCAGAAGCUCCUGAACCCCGUGAAAUUAGACUGGAGACAGUCCAGUCGAAUCUGAUGCCAAGGACUUGGAGAAGAACUUCCUGUUUCCAGCCAGCAAUGGAGAAAGGAAAAUAGAAAGGCCUCUUAUAUUAAAAGGAUUUUGAUGUGGUUUUAGUUUUAAGUUUGAAACACAAGAAAAAUCAGGGUUUGGGGAAUAUCCUUCAGCCGACUUCAGGAAGCGAUAGAAGUAAAAAGGAAAAGGAGCAUCCAUGGUGCACCAGCUGCAUUGCAAGAACAACAAUGACACAAUUGACCCAGCUGAUCAGAUCUUUUGAAUGGUAUGAAUUGAGGAUGUGCUGCCAUUUUGGAAACUGGGACUUCUGGAGAAGCUCCUGCCUCUUCUUUGGAAUUGUUGCGCAGGAUUGAUAAUAUCUACAUCAUGGAAUAGACGGAUAGUUUUGUGUCACAUUGGAAAGGAUGGCAACCUUAAAAGGUGACACAUUUUCCAUACCAAAAUAAGACAGCGAAUUGUAUUGUACCCUGAAGUUCUGACCUUCAGAUUAAACCCAGAAUCAAAAACACUGUUUUAGGUGUAAUAAAUGAAAAGCAUAAAAUAA